AGAGUUUGAUCCUGGCUCAGAUUGAACGCUGGCGGCAUGCCUUACACAUGCAAGUCGAACGCGAAAGCGGGGCAACCCGCAAGUAGAGUGGCGAACGGGUGAGUAAUGCAUCGGAACAUUUCCAGUAGCGGGGGAUAACCUGUCGAAAGAUAGGCUAAUACCGCAUACGCCCCACGGGGGAAAGCGGAGGACCGCAAGGCUUCGCACUAUUGGAGUGGCCGAUGCCGGAUUAGCUAGUUGGCGGGGUAAAAGCCCACCAAGGCAACGAUCCGUAGCUGGUCUGAGAGGACGAUCAGCCACACUGGAACUGAGACACGGUCCAGACUCCUACGGGAGGCAGCAGUGGGGAAUUUUGGACAAUGGGCGCAAGCCUGAUCCAGCCAUGCCGCGUGAGUGAAGAAGGCCUUCGGGUUGUAAAGCUCUUUCGGCGGGGACGAAAUGGUUCGUGCUAAUACCACGGACUGAUGACGGUACCCGAAGAAGAAGCACCGGCUAACUACGUGCCAGCAGCCGCGGUAAUACGUAGGGUGCAGGCGUUAAUCGGAAUUACUGGGCGUAAAGCGUGCGCAGGCGGUUUGCUAAGACAGAUGUGAAAUCCCCGGGCUUAACCUGGGAACUGCGUUUGUAACUGGCAAGCUAGAGUGUGGCAGAGGGGGGUGGAAUUCCAAGUGUAGCAGUGAAAUGCGUAGAUAUUUGGAGGAACACCGAUGGCGAAGGCAGCCCCCUGGGCUAACACUGACGCUCAUGCACGAAAGCGUGGGGAGCAAACAGGAUUAGAUACCCUGGUAGUCCACGCCCUAAACUAUGUCAACUGGUUGUCGGGGAAGCAAUUCCUUGGUAACGAAGCUAACGCGUGAAGUUGACCGCCUGGGGAGUACGGCCGCAAGGUUAAAACUCAAAGGAAUUGACGG
rnacentral:rRNA from 1 species